UAGGGAAUCUUCGGCAAUGGGGGGAACCCUGACCGAGCAACGCCGCGUGAGUGAAGAAGGUUUUCGGAUCGUAAAGCUCUGUUGUUAAGGAAGAACGAGUGUGAGAAUGGAAAGUUCAUACUGUGACGGUACUUAACCAGAAAGGGACGGCUAACUACGUGCCAGCAGCCGCGGUAAUACGUAGGUCCCGAGCGUUGUCCGGAUUUAUUGGGCGUAAAGCGAGCGCAGGCGGUUAGAUAAGUCUGAAGUUAAAGGCAGUGGCUCAACCAUUGUAGGCUUUGGAAACUGUUUAACUUGAGUGCAGAAGGGGGGAGUGGAAUUCCAUGUGUAGCGGUGAAAUGCGUAGAUAUAUGGGGGAACACCAGUGGCGAAGGCGACUCUCUGGUCUGUAACUGACGCUGAGGCUCGAAAGCGUGGGUAGCAAACAGG
rnacentral:rRNA from 1 species